CAAUUUAUAAAAAUACAAGCAGAAAUGAAGCCAGAGCAGGUGACAAACAACCUGCACACCUGGAGGAUUCCAGGCAUCUUCCCAGGAACAGGUGACCCCUCACACAUUUGCUAUAUCUUCCAGCAGAUGGUUAGCUUGUGUCAUUAUGCCACACUCCUCUCUGAUGGACACUUCUUUGCCGUACUCCAAUCUGGGACUAGAAAGUCAAGGUGGGAGGAAGGGAUAAGGGGAAGCAACUUCAGCCCCUCUUCAUCUAAGGUUCUCCCCACACCAUCCAAAGCCCCUCCAGUGCUGUCUCUCUCCAUCUGUCCCCUCUCCUUUGGUUCUAGAUGAGGACACAGUCUCCAUGAGGGGACAGAAAGAAGGCGUCUCUUUCCAUGACAUUACAAUUUCCCUAAAGGCUGACUUCCCUCCCAUGUCUCCAAUCUUUCUUUCCACAGAUUACUGGUGAUGGUGUGUCUGUGGGGAUGGGGUUGGAAAUGGGGAAUAGGUGAGGGAGUAGUGGAGUGGAGGUAGAAGUUGGUCAAGAGCUGACUUCUUCAACAACUGCUCUUCAAAUUCCCUGCUAGAAGGUAGCUGGCCCCAGCCACUGGCAGUUUUUUCAGUGUAGAAUGUGAGCUCCUUGUGGGCUUUUUAUUUUCAAGUUUGGGCUUCAGCAACAGAUCCAGGACAAUAGGAAGAGAUGUAUACAUGGAAUAAACCCCUCUCAAUGUCUAGUUACAUAAACAUACAUGUCUUCUUUGCCCUCCUCUUAUAGUUUAACAAAUGUUGGCAUACUAUUUAGUUUUCUGCACCUUGCUUUUUUCCCUCCAAGUAUUUCCUAGACAUUGUUCCAUAUCAGGACAUAUACAUGGGCCUCAUUCUUUUUGAUGGCUGCAUAGUAUUUCACAAUAUAGAUGUACUAUAAUUUACUAUUACAGCUUUCUAGUGAUAGACAUUUAGUUUGUCUCUAGUUUUUUGUUAUUACAAACAGUGCUGCAGUGACUAUUCCAUGUAUACAUCUCUUCUUAUAGAAACAACUUUUUAAAAAAGUUAAGUAGAAACCCCAAUGGAUGUUUGGCACCCAAUGGACAGUCCCUCUUAAUUAUGCUGCAACUGGUCACAUAGGAAAGCAGCAGUUAGGGACCUGCAUUUAAGCUGGCUAUUGUGAAACAAGAGCAAAUAAGGGAGGAAAUGGAAUAGGGCUUAGUACAGCCCUGAGGUCACAUGUUGCCAGAUUUAAGUCCCACCCAAUUUUCACCUAAACGACUUUAGAUCUGUAUGACACUCAGUUUUUUCAUUCAUAAAAUGGGGUAAAUAUAGUACUGACUUCAUGCGGAUGUGGUAAGGAUUAAAUGAGAAAAUAUGCAUGAUUCUUAGGACAGUUGCUGGUACAUAGUAAGUGUUGAAUAAACAUCAGCUAUACAUAAAGAUCUCCCUUCAGGUGAUAAUGGCUAUAAGGAAACUUACUAGCCAGGUCUAAGUUCAUACCUGGGCAAUUAAUGAUCAUUGGUUCACAGUUUUCUCCUUUACUUGGCACAGGCAAAUUUCUUAGUUUCAAAAAUGUUAAAGUGUGACAACAAACUAUACUUAUUAAAGAAUGUGGAAAUAGAAGCCUAGACCUCUAGGGUUGCAAAAGGAUUUCAAUAUCACCUUAGAUUAGAUUAUCAUGUAAUAAUCAUUUCCAUUUCUUAUUAUAUACCAGAUAUUUUGCAUAUACUAUCCCAUUUAAUUUUCACAAAGACCUAUUUGAGAGAGAUAUUACUAUUUUCAUAUUGCAGAAAAGACUGACAAUCUCAGAAAUCAAGUGACAUGCACAACUGCAUACCAUUAGAUUAUAGAGCAGGAAUUCGAACCCAGGUCUCUGAAAAUAUGAGAUGUACAAACUGGCACACACUUUUACAGUGAAAUCUCACUUGUUCAUGGCAGAACCAGUUCAUAAAAGGUCCUGAACGCUAAGAGAAAGAUUGAUUUAAUUUGGGGGUGGGGAACUAAGGCAGGGCCACCUUAUCCAUUAGGCACAGUACAGUAUGCACAGGGCUUAGGGCCUCCAAUACUUUUAGGGGCCAACAAAAAUGAAUAUUUAUUUAUUUUAGAGAC
rnacentral:lncRNA from 10 species